rnacentral:misc_RNA from 1 species
GGAGAAGCAACACAUGAAAUACACGUUCCUCCUCACAAAAUUGAACUUCUUUUUUCUUGUAACAUUAAUUUUUCAUGUUCUAAUUGUCCAUGGCUUCCAAAUUGAUACUCAGGCACGUAGAUUAAUGUCGUGGCGUCGUUCGAAAAUACGUUCUCGGUGGAUUAAUUCUUAUCAGGAUGAAACAUGGUCGACUGAAAAAAUUGUAUUUGAUUCUGAUGAUGAUGAAGAAGAAUUACAUGUUGGAAAUAUGGAGGAUGAUUUGAUAAAAUAUGGUCUUCCAGGACAACCAAAAUUAAAUGUGAAGUUUAAUCAGUAUGCAGGUUAUGUUAAUGUUGAUGAAAAGAAUGGAAGAAGUCUUUUUUAUUACUUUGCUGAAUCUGCUUCUGGAAAUGCUUCUUCUAAACCACUUGUUCUUUGGCUAAAUGGAGGUCCAGGAUGUUCAUCAUUAGGUUUUGGGGCCAUGCUAGAGCUUGGCCCUUUUGGUGUAAACCUGAUGGUAAAACCCUUUAUUCCAGAACAUUUGCUUGGAACAAAGUUGCAAAUGUGAUGUUCCUAGAGUCAC